GAUCGGUGCUUGCACCGAGAUUCAACAUGGUAACGAGUGGCGGACGGGUGAGUAACACGUGGGUAACCUGCCCUUAAGUGGGGGAUAACAUUUGGAAACAGAUGCUAAUACCGCAUAGAUCCAAGAACCGCAUGGUUCUUGGCUGAAAGAUGGCGUAAGCUAUCGCUUUUGGAUGGACCCGCGGCGUAUUAGCUAGUUGGUGAGGUAAUGGCUCACCAAGGCGAUGAUACGUAGCCGAACUGAGAGGUUGAUCGGCCACAUUGGGACUGAGACACGGCCCAAACUCCUACGGGAGGCAGCAGUAGGGAAUCUUCCACAAUGGACGCAAGUCUGAUGGAGCAACGCCGCGUGAGUGAAGAAGGCUUUCGGGUCGUAAAACUCUGUUGUUGGAGAAGAAUGGUCGGCAGAGUAACUGUUGUCGGCGUGACGGUAUCCAACCAGAAAGCCACGGCUAACUACGUGCCAGCAGCCGCGGUAAUACGUAGGUGGCAAGCGUUAUCCGGAUUUAUUGGGCGUAAAGCGAGCGCAGGCGGUUUUUUAAGUCUGAUGUGAAAGCCCUCGGCUUAACCGAGGAAGCGCAUCGGAAACUGGGAAACUUGAGUGCAGAAGAGGACAGUGGAACUCCAUGUGUAGCGGUGAAAUGCGUAGAUAUAUGGAAGAACACCAGUGGCGAAGGCGGCUGUCUGGUCUGUAACUGACGCUGAGGCUCGAAAGCAUGGGUAGCGAACAGGAUUAGAUACCCUGGUAGUCCAUGCCGUAAACGAUGAAUGCUAGGUGUUGGAGGGUUUCCGCCCUUCAGUGCCGCAGCUAACGCAUUAGCAUUCCGCCUGGGGAGUACGACCGCAAGGUUGAAACUCACAGGAAUUGACGGGGGCCCGCACAAGCGGUGGAGCAUGUGGUUUAUUUCGAAGCACCGCGA
rnacentral:rRNA from 1 species